rnacentral:rRNA from 1 species
CACGUAGGGCGCAAGCGUUGUCCGGAAUUAUUGGGCGUAAAGAGCUCGUAGGCGGUCUGUUGCGUCCGCUGUGAAAACUCGGGGCUUAACCCCGAGCCUGCAGUGGAUACGGGCAGACUAGAGGUAGGUAGGGGAGAAUGGAAUUCCCGGUGUAGCGGUGAAAUGCGCAGAUAUAUAGAAGAACAUCAAUAACGGCGAAGGCAGUUAACUAUUCUGUUACUGACACUGAGGCACGAAAGCGUGGGGAGCAAAACGG